rnacentral:rRNA from 1 species
AGAGCGAACGCUGGCGGCAGGCUUAACACAUGCAAGUCGAACGGAUCCUUCGGGAUUAGUGGCGGACGGGUGAGUAACACGUGGGAACGUGCCUUUUGGUUCGGAACAACUCAGGGAAACUUGAGCUAAUACCGGAUGUGCCCUUCGGGGGAAAGAUUUAUCGCCAUUAGAGCGGCCCGCGUCUGAUUAGCUAGUUGGUGAGGUAAAGGCUCACCAAGGCGACGAUCAGUAGCUGGUCUGAGAGGAUGACCAGCCACAUUGGGACUGAGACACGGCCCAAACUCCUACGGGAGGCAGCAGUGGGGAAUCUUGCGCAAUGGGCGAAAGCCUGACGCAGCCAUGCCGCGUGGAUGAUGAAGGUCUUAGGAUUGUAAAAUCCUUUCAGCGGGACGAUAAUGACGGUACCCGCAGAAGAAGCCCGGCUAACUUCGUGCCAGCAGCCGC